rnacentral:rRNA from 1 species
AAUCAACGCUGGCGGCGUGCCUCAGACGUGCAAGUCGAACGAUUAAGACUUCCUUCGGGAAGUGCAUAAAGUGGCGCACGGGUGAGUAACACGUAAGUAAUCUACCCUCGAGUGGGGAAUAACAUCGGGAAACCGAUGCUAAUACCGCAUAACGCAGCGGCACCGCAAGGUGACAGUUGUUAAAGGAGUAAUUCGCUUGAGGAGGAGCUUGCGGCAGAUUAGCUAGUUGGUAAGGUAACGGCUUACCAAGGCUAAGAUCUGUAUCCGGUCUAAGAGGACGGUCGGACACACUGACACUGAAUAACGGGUCAGACUCCUACGGGAGGCAGCAGUCGGGAAUUUUGGGCAAUGGGCGAAAGCCUGACCCAGCAACGCCGCGUGAAGGAUGAAGUAUUUCGGUAUGUAAACUUCGAAAGAAUGGGAAGAAUAAAUGACGGUACCAUUUAUAAGCUCCGGCUAACUACGUGCCAGCAGCCGCCGUAAUAC